CCGGUGACCAGCGGAGAGGCCCCACCCGUUCCCAUCCCGAACACGGAAGUUAAGCUCUCAUGCAUCGAAAAUACUUGGCGGGAGACUGCCCGGGAAGAUAGAUAGUUGCCGGUU
rnacentral:rRNA from 1 species